UGUCAUUUCAGGGGUUGGGCAUGUUCCAGGAUCUGUCUAUAGACUUCUCUCAGGAGGAAUGGGAGUGCCUGGACACUGCUCAGAAGGACUUAUACAGAGAUGUAAUGAUGGAGAACUACAGCAGCCUGGUCUCACUAGGUCUCUCUAUCCCAAAGCCUGAUGUGAUUUCCUUACUGGAGCAAUGGAAAGAGCUCUGGAUGGUUUCAAGGGACGUACCAGGAGGAUGGUG
rnacentral:lncRNA from 1 species